CCUACGGGAGGCAGCAGUGAGGAAUAUUGGUCAAUGGUCGGGAGACUGAACCAGCCAAGCCGCGUGAGGGAGGAAGGUACAGAGUAUCGUAAACCUCUUUUGUCAGGGAACAAAGACUGGGACGCGUCCCCGGAUGAGUGUACCUGAAGAAAAAGCAUCGGCUCACUCCGUGCCAGCAGCCGCGGUAAUACGGAGGAUGCGAGUGUUAUCCGGAUUUAUUGGGUUAAAAGGGUGCGCAGGCGGGCUGUUAAUACAGCGGUAAAAGCCCGGGGCUCAACCCCGGCCCGCCGUUGAAACUGGCAGUCUCGAGUUGGAGAGAGGUAUGCGGAAUGCGCGGUGUAGCGGUGAAAUGCAUAGAUAUCACGCAGAACUCCGAUUGCGAAGGCAGCAUGCCGGCUCCACACUGACGCUGAGGCACGAAAGCGUGGGUAUCGAACAGGAUUAGAUACCCUUGUAGUC
rnacentral:rRNA from 1 species